UACAGAGACUCUGUUCGAGCAAUAACACCUGGAUUGCCUUUGUUUCUUUACAACUACACCACUCACCAGCUUCAUGGCAUCUUUGAGGCAACAACUUUUGGAGGUACUAGUAUUGAUGCUACUGCUUGGGAAGACAAAAAGUGCAAAGGAGAGUCAAGGUUCCCGGCUCAGGUGAGGAUCAGAGUGAGG